rnacentral:pre_miRNA from 1 species
UAGCUGGGUAACGUGGACUUGUAACCUGAGUAGAGGCAAUAAAGUGAUAUAACAUUGGCUCGCUCAGCUUAGAAGGUCGGGUCCAGUUA